AUUGAACGCUGGCGGCAGGCUUAACACAUGCAAGUCGAGCGGGGUGAUGGUGCUUGCACUAUCACUUAGCGGCGGACGGGUGAGUAAUGCUUAGGAAUCUGCCUAUUAGUGGGGGACAACAUCUCGAAAGGGAUGCUAAUACCGCAUACGUCCUACGGGAGAAAGCAGGGGAUCACUUGUGACCUUGCGCUAAUAGAUGAGCCUAAGUCGGAUUAGCUAGUUGGUGGGGUAAAGGCCUACCAAGGCGACGAUCUGUAGCGGGUCUGAGAGGAUGAUCCGCGACAAUGGGACUGAGACACGGCCCAGACUCCUACGGGAGGCAGCAGUGGGGAAUAUGGGACAAUGGAGGGAACCCUGAUCCAGCCAUGCCGCGUGUGUGAAGAAGGCCUUAUGGUUGUAAAGCACUUUAAGCGAGGAGGAGGCUACUCUAGUUAAUACCUAGGGAUAGUGGACGUUACUCGCAGAAUAAGCACCGGCUAACUCUGUGCCAGCCGCCGCCGUAA
rnacentral:rRNA from 1 species